UACAGAGGGUGCAAGCGUUAAUCGGAAUUACUGGGCGUAAAGCGCGCGUAGGUGGUUUGUUAAGUUGGAUGUGAAAUCCCCGGGCUCAACCUGGGAACUGCAUCCAAAACUGGCAAGCUAGAGUAUGGUAGAGGGUGGUGGAAUUUCCUGUGUAGCGGUGAAAUGCGUAGAUAUAGGAAGGAACACCAGUGGCGAAGGCGACCACCUGGACUGAUACUGACACUGAGGUGCGAAAGCGUGGGGAGCAAACAGGA
rnacentral:rRNA from 1 species